AGCCCAGCACCGGUCCCCAAGCAGCUAUACACACAAUAAGCAUGUACAGAUGGGGACUCAUGUGAGCCUAAACCGGCAACCUGGCACACAGCAGGCAUGUGCCAUUUCACAGACAGAUCAGGCACAGAGAAAGGAAACAACUUUCAAAGAUCACUCAGCAAGCUGGCCAUCGAGCUGAUGGAGGCCUCCUAUGCUUAUCCACCAAGCCGGGUUGCCUAUUGGUGUGUCCAAGCAGAGGUCCUCAGGGAGACUGAGGCAACUCGGGGUGCAUUCCAGCUUGGAGUGAAGCAGAGCACGGAGACCAGAUCUUCUACCUCAUCUGGCCCUCAUCUUCCCUAAUAACCAGGGGAAGUGUGUUUCCUUUUAUGACUGAGUAUGGUGAUCAGCAGGAAGGCCUGGGACAGCUUCCCCUGUAUCCUGGCCUCGCAUAAUACCAUAUGUCAAGAACUGUAUACAGGCAAAGUAAUCAAUGACAAGAAUAGCCCAAGGAGAGAGCUGUCGGGAGCAAUGCUACAUAAUUUUAGGGUAAAAUCAUUUGGUUAGCCUAGUUCUCCUGCCUACAGCCCAGCUAUGGAAUUCCGAGACAUAAUUGCAUUUUGGCCUCCGGUCACAACUGAGACCUCAAUGAUCUGGUGAUGCUGUCUGUGAUUCUCCAGGACAAGAAGCAUCCUGGGAGCUGAGAACAUCCUGGG
ensembl:lncRNA